rnacentral:tRNA from 1 species
UCCCCAGUGGCGCAACUGGUUAGCGCGCCGUACUUAUACAACAGUACCUGUGAGAGAUGCGGAGGUUGUGAGUUCGAUCCUCACCUGGGGAA